GAAGGAAGGAAAGAAGGAAGGAAGGACUAUUUGCAAUUUGCAAUACACCUUACUCCAAACUGCUUUGGAAUCUAUUCCAUUUUCUCUCUGUAAAAACAUGCCCCCAAAUUGUGAACUGAUUGGGAAUUCUCACCAGUACUGAUAAAAGACAUGAGGCAAUAGCAGAGGAGUAGGACUAGAUGUCAUAGGAGUUUAGUGAGCACUGAGGACCUGAAAACACACGUCUGCUUUUCCCCAUCAUCCCCAAACACUAUUACUUAAUUUCUUCUCAAGAUCAGUCUUUGCUUUUUUAAAACCUUGUUUACUUUUCUUAUUUUCUCUAUUCCCAUAUCUACUUACUUUCUUAAUUAUAACUUCAUUGCACUUAAUUCACAAAUAAAAACAUCACAGUCAUGCUAAGGAAGUCUCUCAAACACUCCUCAGUCCAAAUUCUGUGUAUCUCAGUGAACUAUAGAGUUCAGGUGGCCAUUCUAAGGCUGUGGAGCUUUGACUAGAGUUUUAUAUUUUUGUUAUUAAUCAUAAUUUUAUUAAUCUAUUCACCAAAACAAAAGAGAGAAAAUCAGGAGGGAGGUAAAGGUAGAAAAAAUAAACUUUAUCUUCUCUUCCAUGACUCAAGUGUCCUUUUGUCUACAUUCCAUCCUUCCCCAUCACCUAAUAUUACACUUUCUUGAUCUCUUUUUCUAAAACUUUUUACUAUAUCCACAUAUGUGUGCAUACAUCACAGCUUAAUAUGUGGAAUAAGAAGAGGAAAUACCCAUUUUUCUGUAUUUUGGUGACCUCACUAAUAUUAUACUUUUUAAGUUCAUAAAAUUUCCCCUCAAACUUUGUAAUUUAACUUUCUUUACAGCUAAGUAAUAUUCCACUUCUAAAUUGUGCGAUGUAUUUAGUAUUCAUUCGUUUGUUGAUAAGAAUUUACUUUGGUUCUAUUUCCUUUCUAUUGUAAAUACAGCAGCAAUAAAUGUAGAUGUACAAAGAAAUCUACUGGUAUUGUGUGGAAUUCUCUGGGUAUAUGCCCAGGAAUGAAAUAGCUGAGUCACAUGGAAACUCUAUUUUUAAAUUUUUGAGAACCUCCAAACAGAUUUCCAUAAAGGCUGUAGUAAUUUGAGCUCCCACCAGCAGUGAACAAGGGUGUCUCUUUCUUCAUAUCUUCAAUGCUUGUCAGGCUUCUUCAUGGUAGUGAUUCUGAUUGGAGAGAGGCAGUAUCUCAAAGUAGUUUUAGUUUGCAUUUUUUAUUGAUGACUGGGGCAUUAAAACUUUCAAAAGUAGUUAUCAGCCACAUAUGUUUCCUUUUUUGGAAAGUGUUUGUUCAUUUCAGGAUCCCAUUUGUUGAUGGGUUAGCUUUAUUUCCUUGCUGUUUGGUUUUUCCAGUUCUUUGUAAUUUCUUGAAACUAGCUCAUUGCUAUAACUAUAGCUGGUAAAGAUUCUCUAGCAUUUAUUGCAUCACAUGGUUUUCAUUUGCUGUGCAGGAAUUUUUAGAAUUUCACAUAAUUCCAACUGUUAAUAUUUAGGGCUAGUUUCUGUGCUAUUGGAGUGCAGUUCAAAACGUCCUACUCAGUGUUUUGAGUACCAUUCACUAUGGCUUCUUCUAGGAGCUUCAGAUUCUUUUGGGGAGCAGGGGUUAUAUUAAGAUCUUUGAUCCACUUGGAUUUGAUUUUUGUACAAUGUGGAAAAUAUUGUACUAAUUUCAUUCUUCUGCAGGUACAUACCCGAUUUUGCCAGCACCAUUUGUUGAAUAAACUAUUGGACUGAAAAGGGAAACUCAAUGGAGAAAAUGUUCCCAUCAGUUUCACCUCAAGGAGAGCCUACAGGGACACUGUCAGAUUGCUUUGAGUAUCCGUGGUCUUUUGUGAUCCUGUGCGAAUUCUUGAAUUGUUCCUUCCAGAUCUGUGAAAUACAGCAUUGGAAUUUUGAAGAGGAACACAUUACAUCUGUGGGUUAGUAGUUUUCACAGUACAGCUGUUUUUGUGAUAUUAGUUCUGUCAAUCCAGGAGCAUUAAAGGUCUUUCUAUGA